AAACAUUCCCUCUGCAUUCAUUCAAAUAGUGCACGCCUCUCUUCCCCUCUCUGAGGGGUUAGGAGUAGGCAGAGUAGGUAUAUAGCUAUAUACAUAGUAUUGAAGAAAGCCACUUUUACUUAGUUAUUCUUCCUUUUUUUUUUUUUUUUUUUUUGGUAAAAGACCUUUUUAUUCUAUACAUAUAAUGUUAGAGACAAGGGGCCCUCUUUCCCUCCUGCUGCUUCGAAUUUGACGGCCAUGGUCAUGGCCGCUGUCGAAUGAAUCUGCCCACGCAAAAAAAGGGGGAAAUGUAAAAUCAGCUGCAAUUUUUUAAGGCCUAGACGUCAAUAAUAAUAAUAAAAAUAAGUAAAAGAAGAAGAAAACACGCUCUCUAAAAUACAACUACACAGCACUAUUAUACUAGGAAAAGAAGCAGCACUCGGCUGCCUGAAGGAGGGGGGGGGGAGAGGCAGUGAGAACAUUAUUUAGAAACGAAAUUUCACUAGAACGAAAUCUACUUCCUAUAAGCAUAAUAAUAAUAACAAUAAUAAUAAAGAGAAGCUAGGCCUUUUUUGUUGUUUUUAUUCUCGUUCUCUUCGCUGUAAUAUAGUAAAACUAGGCAUAGUAAGAGAAUAACUUCCAAAUUGAACAGAAAACAAAACAAAACAUACAUUGAACAGUAAAACAACGUCGACGACUUAAUAUGUCAGUGCAUUUACAGAGUUUCACACACGUCAUACUUCAGGAUCAGUUUAUUAAUUAUUCGUCUCUCACUCUAUUUUUCUCCAUUCUUCUUAAGGAGUCUAGAAUAUAUAUCUGUCAAUGGAAAUGGGCGCACGACUUUUAGAGUUACUAGACUUAGUUGUUAUUUUUAUUAUAACCUAGCAACAAGUAACUAUCAUUUUCGAGCUACUCUUCCACAUCUUCAAUUAGUUGUUGUUUUCGUUUUACUACAAUGUGUUAAAACAAAAUGCGUAUUUCUUUUACUAAUAU
rnacentral:lncRNA from 1 species